UUUGAUAGAGGCGCAUUCAGUCAAAAGUACCGUAAUUUACCUGAUUUUAGGGGUCGCCAAGGCCUUACGGGAAAGGGGCUAAUGCCGAAGUGGGUAUAGUGGCGUAUACCUUUCUGGCAGUUCGGAUAAUAUCCGCUCUGUUGUCGCAGUAAUGCGGAGUGCUAUCUU
rnacentral:ncRNA from 1 species